GGGUCUGUAGCUCAGGUGGUUAGAGCGCACCCCUGAUAAGGGUGAGGUCGGUGGUUCGAGUCCGCUCAGACCCACCA
rnacentral:tRNA from 1 species